CGUGCAGGCGGUUUGUUAAGUUGGAUGUGAAAGCUCCCGGCUAAACUGGGAGAGGUCGUUCAAAACUAGCAGACUAGAGUGUGGUAGAGGGGAGUGGAAUUCCGAGUGUAGCGGUAAAAUGCAUAGAUAUUCGGAAGAACACCAGUGGCGAAGGCGACUUCCUGGACCACAACUGACGCUCAGACGCGAAAGCCAGGGUAGCAAACG
rnacentral:rRNA from 1 species